CCCCGUGACACUCAUUGGUCUGCUGUUAAGCGGAUUUUGCGCUAUAUUCGUUUCACGGUGGCUCAUGGUUUGCAUAUUCGGCCGUCUGACUCUGGUUGUCUUUCAGCAUAUUCUGAUGCAGAUUGGGCUGGCAAUCCGGAUGACAGGCGAUCCACGGGGGGUUAUGCUGUCUUCUUUGGCUCUAACCUGAUUGCCUGGAGUGCUCGGAAACAGGCUACUGUCUCGCGUAGCAGUACUGAGGCUGAGUAUAAGGAUGUGGCCAAUGCCACAUCAGAGAUCAUCUGGGUACAGUCCUUGCUUCAGGAGUUAAGUAUACCCCAAUCACAGCCUCCUGUUCUUUGGUGUGAUAACAUCGGUGCUACAUACCUUUCUGCAAAUCCGGUAUUCCAUGCCCGAACGAAACACAUUGAAGUUGACUAUCACUUUGUGCGUGAACGUGUCUCUCAGAAGCAACUACAGAUCAAGUUUAUUUCUUCCAAGGAUCAACUUGCUGACAUCUUCACCAAGCCAUUGCCUUUGCCACAGUUUGAGACUUGCAGG
rnacentral:rRNA from 1 species